AGAGUUUGAUCCUGGCUCAGGAUGAACGCUAGCUACAGGCUUAACACAUGCAAGUCGAGGGGAAACGAUAGAGAAAGCUUGCUUUUUCUAGGCGUCGACCGGCGCACGGGUGAGUAACGCGUAUCCAACCUGCCCAUCACUUGGGGAUAACCUUGCGAAAGUAAGACUAAUACCCAAUGACGUCUCUAGAAGACAUCUGAAAGAGAUUAAAGAUUUAUCGGUGAUGGAUGGGGAUGCGUCUGAUUAGCUUGUUGGCGGGGUAACGGCCCACCAAGGCUACGAUCAGUAGGGGUUCUGAGAGGAAGGUCCCCCACAUUGGAACUGAGACACGGUCCAAACUCCUACGGGAGGCAGCAGUGAGGAAUAUUGGUCAAUGGGCGAGAGCCUGAACCAGCCAAGUAGCGUGCAGGAUGACGGCCCUAUGGGUUGUAAACUGCUUUUAUAAGGGAAUAAAGUGAGCCUCGUGAGGCUUUUUGCAUGUACCUUAUGAAUAAGGACCGGCUAAUUCCGUGCCAGCAGCCGCGGUAAUACGGAAGGUCCGGGCGUUAUCCGGAUUUAUUGGGUUUAAAGGGAGCGUAGGCCGGAGAUUAAGCGUGUUGUGAAAUGUAGAUGCUCAACAUCUGCACUGCAGCGCGAACUGGUUUCCUUGAGUACGCACAAAGUGGGCGGAAUUCGUGGUGUAGCGGUGAAAUGCUUAGAUAUCACGAAGAACUCCGAUUGCGAAGGCAGCUCACUGGAGCGCAACUGACGCUGAAGCUCGAAAGUGCGGGUAUCGAACAGGAUUAGAUACCCUGGUAGUCCGCACGGUAAACGAUGGAUGCCCGCUGUUGGUCUGAAUAGGUCAGCGGCCAAGCGAAAGCAUUAAGCAUCCCACCUGGGGAGUACGCCGACAACGGUGA
rnacentral:rRNA from 1 species